GUCAUGUUUCCCGAAGCUCCGCUGGGCAUUGGAAAGAACUACUUAAUUCAUCGUUCAGAUCUACUUUAUCUUAUUUUAUUUACCUAACAGUAUAUAGUUUGUUUCCGUCGUCCUCAAUCGCUCGAUUCAACAAUACAUUUUGGCACUUUUUACUCCCGGAUCAGACCGCAGAAAAAGCCUUGGACUUUCCUAUCGCCAACAUGCCUCUGUAUUCGGAUAUCUCAGGCACGGAGACUGGGAAAUGCACAGACUGCGCCGAACUGAAACAGACAUUGGCUUUAAUUGAAACGAGACUAGCAGCAGUAGGAAAAUGCAAAGGACUAUCACAGGAUACAGUGCCGAUGGGUGAGUUUGCUGAGCUCACUCAGAUACAGCAAGAUGAUCAAAGCUACACUGUAUCCUUCCCGAAGCUGGACAUGAGAGAGACAGUUCCAGCUGCGUCUCACUGGAACAGAGUCGGCGCUAAGCCAAAGCAACAUACCAAAAUAAAUCAACAAGUUCACUCAACACCAAAUGCUAAGCUACCCAAAGCUAAAGUUAUCAGCCGGAUUAGCCCGUCACUCAAAUCAACCCUGCCACUGAAGAACCGGUUCCUGCCACUUCAAGAGUCCACGAACGCGCCUGCCACCGAUGCACCCCUGAGCCCCGAGAUGCGUCCGGACGGACAGUGCGGACAGAGACGGAACAACCAGUCGCCACGGAGGCGGGCUGCGCAUGUGUCUCCAACCGUCCAACAAGGGCCCAUCUCAGAGAAAGCAGAUGAACCAGACACUCUGAUUAUAGGAGACUCAACUAUCAAGGAUAUAACCGGCCACAAUCUUGCCAUGGUCUGACGCACAGGCCACAAUCAGAGCACAGGUUGAGAAGAAGCGAGACUACAGCCUCCCCCACACAACUACUCUGCCACUAUCUGACACACAGAUAGCAGACAGCCCACAGACCUUGAAGAGAGACAACAGCCCGCCCGACGCCAUCAACACUGUGCCCUCCCCCAUCGCUGAUGCUGGCUUGGCGAGGAACGGCCACCCCCCUCCUCUGCAUUCCCCCAUCGAUGAUGACCUCCAGCCUCAUCUCUCCCAUAGCCACAACAACAACUCCAGCUCCGAUGUCUCCCUUUGCGAUUUUCCAGCCGAAUUUAAGAAACUGGAACAUGCUGGCAUCAAACUUGCAUCUGUGUCAAUGAUAGCAUCGCCACGUCAUGGCCGCAGGCUGCUAACACUGCUAACACCCAGGAGGACGGCGCCCCACCCCCGCCCCGAUAGUAGUCCUGAGUAUUACUGAGACAAAAAAGGGUUCAGCCGUAGACACAGUAUAAAGGAAGUUUCUCAUAAUCUGCUGAACCCAAGGUUGCCUACGUCAAAGCAGGGCAACUUUCGCAUUCAUGCUGUAACCACUAAGAGAGUAAACAAAGGGAAACUUAGACACACUGCUAACCUCACAAAUCUCAUAUCUAUUGCCUCAAAACCAAAAACAACCUUAAAGC
rnacentral:lncRNA from 1 species